GGCUAGAGCCAUAUCUCCCUGCAGUUCUUGCCUGGUUUCUUACUGAAGCUAAGCAGGGUUGAGCCUGACCAGUUCCUGGAUGGGAGUUCUCCUGAGGAAAACUAAGUUUUUUAUUGC
rnacentral:rRNA from 1 species